rnacentral:rRNA from 1 species
UACGAGGGGCGGAAGCGUUGUUCGGAAUUAUUGGGCGUAAAGGGUGCGUAGGUGGUUCGGCAAGUCUUGUGUGAAAUCUUCAGGCUCAACUUGAAGUCUGCACAAGAAACUGCCGGGCUUGAGUAUGGGAGAGGUGAGUGGAAUUUCCGGUGUAGCGGUGAAAUGCGUAGAUAUCGGAAGGAACACCUGUGGCGAAAGCGGCUCACUGGACCAUUACUGACACUGAGGCACGAAAGCUAGGGGAGCAAACAGG